CCGGCGACCGGCGCACGGGUGCGUAACGCGUAUGCAACCUACCUGUAACAGGGGGAUAACACUGAGAAAUCGGUACUAAUACCGCAUAACACUAUGAGAGGCAUCUCUUGUGGUUGAAAGUUUCGGCGGUUACAGAUGGGCAUGCGUUGUAUUAGCUGGUUGGUAAGGUAACGGCUUACCAAGGCGACGAUACAUAGGGGGACUGAGAGGUUAACCCCCCACAUUGGUACUGAGACACGGACCAAACUCCUACGGGAGGCAGCAG
rnacentral:rRNA from 1 species